rnacentral:rRNA from 1 species
GUCGAGCGGAAACGAGUUAUCUGAACCUUCGGGGAACGAUAACGGCGUCGAGCGGCGGACGGGUGAGUAAUGCCUAGGAAAUUGCCCUGAUGUGGGGGAUAACCAUUGGAAACGAUGGCUAAUACCGCAUAAUGCCUACGGGCCAAAGAGGGGGACCUUCGGGCCUCUCGCGUCAGGAUAUGCCUAGGUGGGAUUAGCUAGUUGGUGAGGUAAGGGCUCACCAAGGCGACGAUCCCUAGCUGGUCUGAGAGGAUGAUCAGCCACACUGGAACUGAGACACGGUCCAGACUCCUACGGGAGGCAGCAGUGGGGAAUAUUGCACAAUGGGCGCAAGCCUGAUGCAGCCAUGCCGCGUGUGUGAAGAAGGCCUUCGGGUUGUAAAGCACUUUCAGUCGUGAGGAAGGUAGUGUAGUUAAUAGCUGCAUUAUUUGACGUUAGCGACAGAAGAAGCACCGGCUAACUCCGUGCCAGCAGCCGCGGUAAUACGGAGGGUGCGAGCGUUAAUCGGAAUUACUGGGCGUAAAGCGCAUGCAGGUGGUUUGUUAAGUCAGAUGUGAAAGCCCGGGGCUCAACCUCGGAAUUGCAUUUGAAACUGGCAGACUAGAGUACUGUAGAGGGGGGUAGAAUUUCAGGUGUAGCGGUGAAAUGCGUAGAGAUCUGAAGGAAUACCGGUGGCGAAGGCGGCCCCCUGGACAGAUACUGACACUCAGAUGCGAAAGCGUGGGGAGCAAACAGGAUUAGAUACCCUGGUAGUCCACGCCGUAAACGAUGUCUACUUGGAGGUUGUGGCCUUGAGCCGUGGCUUUCGGAGCUAACGCGUUAAGUAGACCGCCUGGGGAGUACGGUCGCAAGAUUAAAACUCAAAUGAAUU